rnacentral:rRNA from 1 species
UACGUAGGUGGCAAGCGUGUCCGGAUUUACUGGGCGUAAGAGCGCGCAGGCGGUCGUGCAAGUCGCGUGUGAAAGCCCCCGGCUCAACUGGGGAGGGUCAUUCGAUACUGUUCGACUGGAAGGCAGGAGAGGGAAGCGGAAUUCCCGGUGUAGUGGUGAAAUGCGUAGAUAUCGGGAGGACACCAGUGGCGAAGGCGGCUUCCUGGCCUGUUCU